rnacentral:rRNA from 1 species
GAUCAGCUCAGGACGAACGCUGGCGGCGUGCUUAACACAUGCAAGUCGAACGAGAAUCUGUGGAAAGAGGAUUCGUCCAAUUGAAACAGAGGACAGUGGCGGACGGGUGAGUAACGCGUGAGGAACCUGCCUUUCAGAGGGGGACAACAGUUGGAAACGACUGCUAAUACCGCAUGACACAUUGAGGUCGCAUGGCCUUAAUGUCAAAGAUUUAUCGCUGAAAGAUAG